AUGGAGGUAAACAUUAUUUUUGUGCUCCUGAUUGCCACCAGCUAUUUGAGACCACAUUGUCCACCAGUUUCCUCAUUGAUGUGGAAGCUGGAAUUCCCAGAAAGAUCACAAAAGAUUGUUUCUCUGAGCCCUAGGAUGGAUGCAAGAGCAACCAACCAGGUACUUUCACUGGACAUGUUGAAUCCUGAGUGGUUUGAUGCAAGGCAGAAGCAUGCUAACCAAAGGGUUGCUUGUGAGAGAAUGCUGCUGCACUUCUUACUUCCUGGAUCUCCAGAACCUUCCUGAGAUACUGUCCGUCCCCAAGACUGGUUCUAAGGUCUCUUCCACCACAUUGAACUUGUUACUUAAAACACCCAGAGAGUUGCUAACAACCAAUAAGCUUCACUGAUGAAGUCCCUUUACAUGAAAGCAGUACAUUUGAUAUUCAUCCAUAUGACAUUUACUUGAUUUGUGCACAUGUUCAAGAAUUCCACUCAUGUAGUCAUUUAUUCGAACCUUGUUUUAGCUCUGCCAUUUACUGAGCUAUGCCAUUUGCCUGACUCAGGCAUAGGAACCUAAAUCUCAGCCUCUUUCUCUGUAAAAAGUUGUUUGUAGGAUUUCUGGCUAUAUGAAUAUAUUUAAUUUUUAACUACCAUGGCAAAUAAUAUUAACUUGAGCUUCCAUAUUUGGGAGAGAUAUGGCUUUUGUUUGAAAAAUAAUGCAAAGGAGAAUAAUUAAUGUUUAGUUUUGGUUUCUCAAAAAUAGAACUAUGAAACAAAGUUUUUUUUCUUUUCCCUUCUUUAUCUCAUUAGAAACCAAACCUGGGGUGCAGGUGUUCUGGCUUUCCACUGCAUAUGUAUUUUUGGGGUAAAUACCCAGUAGUGCAAUUGCUGAGUCAUAGGGUAGCUCUAUUUUUACCUGCACCCCAAUGGUUAUAGCAGCAAUGUCCACAAUAGCCAAACUGUGGAAGGAGCCUUGAUGUCCAUCGACAGAUGCAUGGAUAAAGAAGAUAUGGCCUAUAUACACAAUGGAAUGGAAUGGAAUGAAAUGUGAUUCAGCCAUUAGAAACAAUGAAUACCCACCAUUUGCUUCAACAUGGAUGGAACUGGAGGGUGUUAUGCUGAGUGAAGUAAGUCAAUUAGAGAAGGACAAUCAUAUGGUUUCACUCAUACGGGGAAUAUAAGAAAUAGUGAAGGGAUUAAAGGGGAAGGGAGGGAAAAUGAGUGGGAAAAAUUAGAGAGGGUGACAAAAAAUGAGAGACUCCUAACUCUGGGAAAUGAACAAGGGGUAGUAGAAGAGGAGGCAGGCGGGAGGAUGGGGUAACUAAGUGAUGGGCACUGAGCAGGCCACUUGACGGAAUAAACCCUGGGUGUUAUAUGUUGGCA
rnacentral:lncRNA from 12 species